rnacentral:rRNA from 1 species
GACGAACGCUGGCGGCGUGCUUAACACAUGCAAGUUGAGCGAUGAAGCACCUUCGGGUGUGAAUUAGCGGCGAACGGGUGAGGAACACGUGAGAAAUCUGCCUUCAACACUGGGAUAACUCCGGGAAACCGGGGCUAAUACCGGAUAUGAAACCUGCGGGCAUCCGCGGGUUUGGAAAGUUUCUCGGUUGAAGAUGAUCUCGCGGCCUAUCAGCUUGUUGGUGAGGGAAUGGCUCACCGAGGCGUCGACGGAUAGCCGGCCUGAGAGGGGGACCGGCCACACUGGGACUGAGACACGGCACAGACUCCUAAGGGAGGCAGCAGUGGGGAAUAUUGGGCAAUGGAGGAAACUCUGACCCAGCGACGCCGCGGGCGGGAUGAAGGCCUUCGGGUUGUAAACCGCUUUCAGCAGGGAAGAAGCGAAAGUGACGGUACCUGCAGAAGAAGCACCGGCUAACUAUGUGCCAGCCGCCGCGGUAA